CAAGAUGCUGGCGGGGGGAGGGGAAACCUUUGCGGACACACAUACAACCUGCGGCCUUUAGGAACCCCCCCCCAAGGGGCAACAGAAGUACACUUACGCUAGAGAAGAACUGCUUUACUUCAUUACGGCACGUGGUUUCGGCUGGGUCGAGCAGGGCUGUGCAGAGAGAAUCCUCUUCACAAUGUGGUGAUCCCGGACUAAGGAGCAAGUGUACUGAUUAACGAGCGUCUGAGCAUAUGAAGAGCGCCGUCACACACAGUGGCUCAGCAGAGAGCACCACGCUGCCCCAGCCCAGAGCUGCAAAUUUGCCAGUUGUUUGUGAACUGUAGCAAGGAACACGCACCUUAGUCCUAACCAUUUUUACACAGAAGUAAAUCUCCGAGUCCAAUGGAACUUACUCCCUAGGAGGUGUGUUUAGUGAAGGAGAAUGGCGUUUGCAUUAUCAUCGCAUUAUUUUAAUCACAUUAACGGCGUCUAUGUUGAUAAUGAUUAAAGCGAAGCUUCUAUGCUUUUAAUCAAGAAUCCGUAUUUAAAGAA